ensembl:piRNA 21ur-1337 ncRNA
UAUAAUGAAUAUUUUGGACAA